rnacentral:misc_RNA from 1 species
GAUGAAGAACGCAGCGAAAUGCGAUAAGUAAUGUGAAUUGCAGAAUUCAGUGAAUCAUCGAAUCUUUGAACGCACAUUGCGCCCGCCAGUAUUCUGGCGAGCAUGCCUGUUCGAGCGUCAUUUCAACCAUCAAGCCCCAGGCUUGUGUUGGAGCCCUGCGGCUGCCGCAGCCUCCCAAAACCAGUGGCGGGCUCGCUAUCACACCGAGUGCAGUAGUUUACUCUUCGCUCAGGGCGUGUGGCGGGUGCUAGCCGUGAAACCCCCAACUUCUCAAGGUUGACCUCGGAUCAGGUAGGACUACCCGCUGAACUUAAGCAUAUCAAUAAGCGGAGGA